CAACACUAUGACAUGCUAACGAACGGAUAAUGAUCAGGCAAAGCUACGGCCCCUACAGCAGAAGUAAGAGAAAGUCAAUCUGACAUCUGACGGACGAUGGGAUGAAUGUGGUGGUGAAGGUUUUGAGAUCUUGAAAAGAAGUUUUCCUGGCAUCUCUCAGACUCAAGCGAAUACAGUGAGAGGAGUUUGAAAAGAUGGAUUGUGACCAUGAGGAUGAAAAUGGUGGCCGGUUACCAGCUGGAUCAAAAUCCAGCU
rnacentral:lncRNA from 1 species